rnacentral:lncRNA from 1 species
AAAUUCUUUGCCACUCAUUUACUGUAAUUUUAGAGCGCAAGAGAUUCCCUAUUACCUUUGCAGCAAGAGGCAGGCCUUUGCACUUCAGUGCAAUUUUUCGCCCAAUUGGUUCUAAUUUUUCACAAUCUUCGAAAGAGCGACUGGAAAAUGCCAACCGCUUGAACAACGACCAACAUUCCUCUUCAGCCAAUUGCUUAAUGAAGAUAAUAUUUGUUGAUCCCAUCAUACGUGCAACUGACUCAUUACGUGUGGUAACUAAAAUUUUACUUCCUUGGAGACCAUUCUUUAGACAAAGGAAGAAUGGUUCCCAUUUAUUUUAACUCCCAUCCCAUACAUCAUCUAAGACAAGAAAAAACUUUUUUCCUUCAAUUGAUCUAUGGAUAUGGCUCGUAAGAGAUUGGAAUUCGUUUAAACUAGGAGCUGACUCACCUAGACCUUCAAUGAUUGCUUUGACAACCCUAAUCUCCUCAAAAGUGUCUGAUACACACACCCAUAUAACUUUUUCAAAAUUUCUUUUCACCUCAUCAUUAUUAUAGGCUAGUUGUGCAAGAGUGGUUUUACCUAUACCCCCUAACCCAACUAGUGAGAUGACAUGAAGGCCUUUUUGUUGUUCACUACUUUCACACAACAACUUGCUUAAGAGCUCAUUUUUCUCAUCAACUCUACCGCAAACCUCUCCCUCAUCAAUCAAGGAGGUGGUUCGCACUCGCUCUGGUUUCUUAACAUUGUUGCUCACAUUCUCAACAAAUUUAAACGUAUCUUUUUGGGAGGCAAUAUCAUCUAGCUUUCCAUUGAUUUCCCUAAUCUUGACGGCAAUGUCAUGACGAAGACUAAGUUGUUUGAAACUACCAAAGCAGUUUGAUACAGCACAAAAGAAGGAGCGUACCUUCUUCUUAUGAGGAGCAAGAGCAAGAGCAUUGUCAUCAUCAACGCCCUCAAUCUGCAAUUUGAGCCUUGCAGUGGUCCACUCCUCCAACACGUCUUCCAUGUCGUAAGAUGCGUCUUUGAGCUGAUCCAGCCAAAAAGUAACAGCAUUGUCGCGCUGCAUUUGCCUUUUCUCUGCAUCUUCCAGCACAGCUCGAAUGGCUCGAAGAUUGCUGGUAAGCUUUUUCACUUCUUCUCGGACACCAGUCACAAGCCUCACGUGUUGUUUCACUUCAUCAGCCGCAACGGAGAUCAGCUGCUCCAGGAGAGAGGAAACGAUCGCAUCAACCAUUCUGACAAAGAAAACGAGAAUUUUGAUGAGUUAUUAGAUGUGCUUUUGUUGCGAAGAUAUGAAAGAAAAGGAGUUAUUGCGUUCUUUUAUACUGCAUAGAAAAAGCUUAUGCUUAUCCCCACCCCACACGUCAAUGAUUGUAGAAUGUUUAUUUUCCCUGAUUCUACUCCACUAGUUGUGAUGCGUAAUUAUAAAUAUUCUCAAGUUAUGUAUGAAAAUAGCACAAAUUUGGAUCUAGUAAUGAUUUUUAUGUACUUUUUCAUCAUCUUCUAAAAUACCAUCUCUGCAUGUGCACGAAAUAUGGAAUUGGGUGAAAAAAGUUAUGCUUAUCCCCACCCACACGUUAGUAAUUGUAGUAGCAUCUUUAAUUUCCAUGAUUCUACUCCACGGACGAACACAUUUUUUGUAGUAACAUCUUUAAAUUCCCACACGUUAGGAAUUUGGCACAUAUCUCAAACUCGUCGCAUCUUUAACGUAUGAAGUUGAUGAAUAAAUUCUUUUCUCAUGUCAAUUUAAAACUCCGAGAUUAUGUGCCAAAUUCCUAACGUGUGGGAAUUUUACCUCCUAAGUAAUCCGGCCCACUACCAAGUGCCAACUUUUUCUCUGUCGAGUUAAUGAUGUUGUUUUGUUUUCCUUGUUUUAAUUAAUGUUGCCGAGAGAAACAGAUCGAUGCAAAUGGCUAGCCAGGUUUUGCAGAAACCGUGAAUGGUCUUGCAUGUGACAUAAAGCUUAAUCAUGUAUAUAUGUGUGUUGACACUUGCCAGUUCAUUUUUGUUAUAAAGAUUAUUGAUACUCAUAAAUGUACUACUUACAAAUCAUAAAUUUUGAGUUUGACACUUUAGUUUCAUUUUGUAAUCCCUACACUCUUUAAAUAUUUGUAACAAUAUAUUUCAAACUUUAACUCAGACGUAAUGAAUGAAGGGGGAUCCUCUUCUUAUAUAAAUUUUUAUUUUUUAACGUUCAAGUUACAUUUGAUUACGUGUACUUAUUAUCUAGUUUUGACUAUCUAAUUACAUUUGAUUACGUGUACUUAUUAUAUAAUUUUUUUUUGAAAUGAUGGAUCUGGUGAGAUUUUUUACAUCUUGGAUCAGUAGGUCAAGAACAGGCAGGGCAGGGCCUUCUCUGAAGUCAAUCUUGUGAGCAACACCAGCUUUUUGGAUAAUUGGCAGCCCCAAUUCAUAAUUUUCUCUAUUGAUGUCCAUGGCCAAAAUCUGCAACCGAAGCUUAUUCUACUCUUAUUAAUCGAGAGAUAAUUUUACCUCUAACUAAUUUAAUUGGGAGGAAAAUCGAGAGAGAUAUCCACUUUGUCCUUAUUAAUUGAGAGAUAAUUUUACCCUUACCCAAUUUAAUUGGAAAGAAAAUCGAAUUCCAACAAUAACUAGGACUCGAAUCCAUGCACUUAAGCUAACUUUAUGCUUUUGGACGCAUGGUUAUAAUGUUCUUUAUUUAAAUCCUAACAAAUGGUGGGACUUGAACUUGUGCCUACAAACAUUGAGUGCUUAGGGGCUGCAAAAUUUCAUAACUUAAUUUUAGUUGAUGUGGCAUGUGCCCUAUCACAUCAAUGUAGAUAAUAAUAAUUAAUACAUUAACAAAAUGAAAAAUAUUAGUUUACAAAAUACAAAUCCAAAUUUUUUGUGUGAGAGGGGAUUUAAAAGGGAGAGACUAAACAAAUGUGGUGAAAAACGACAUGUAUUACUACAACUGAAAAUACGAAGUCUAGGCAAUUGAAAACAUCGGGUUUUUUAUUUAAAUAUCCCCAAUUUGUCCUUAAAUACCAAAUUUAUACCCUAUUAUAUACAUAUACCUCACGAAGAUAGGGAAAGUAAAAAAUAACCUAAAAAAAUCAGGAAUCCGCACAUUUCUUCCUCUUAGUUCAGAAAGAUGUCGAGUACGAAGUCGGGUAAGUCGAGAAUUUAGUCGAGCAAGAAUUGGAGAUAAGUAAGUCAAUUAGGAAGUUGAGUAAGCAUAUUAAGUGAGUCGAGUAUUAAGUGGUUGAGUAUUAAGUAAAAGUCAAGUAAAUUUUUUGAACAAGUCGAGUAAAAUUUAUGUAAUUUUUAAAGAGGUCGAGUAUUAAGUCGGGUAAGUACAUUGGGUCGAGUAUUAAUAUUUUUAAAGAAGUGAAGUCUGAUAAGUUGAGCAUUUAGUCGAGUAAGAAGUUAAGGCAAUUGAAUAAGUCGAGUAUCUAGUUGAGUACAAAGUCGGGUAAGUUGAGCAUUCAGUCGAAUAAGAAGUAAAGACAAUUGAAUAAGUCGAGUGUCUAGUCGAGUACGAAGUCGAGUAUGAAAUCUGGUAAGUUGAGCAUUCAGUCGAGUGAGAAGUGAAGGCAAUUGAAUAAGUCGAGUAUCUAGUCGAGAACGAAGUCGGGUAUGAAGUCUGGUAAGUUGAGCAUUUAGUCGAGUGAGAAGUGAAGACAAUUGAAUAAGUCGAGUAUCUAGUCGAGUACAAAGUCGGGUAUGAAGUAUGGUAAGUUGAGCAUUUAGUCGAGUAAGAAGUGAAGGCAAUUGAAUAAGUCGAAUAUCUAGUCGAGUACGAAGUCAGGUAUAAAGUAUGGUAAGUUGAGCAUUCAGUUGAGUAAGAAGUGAAAGUAAUUGAAUAAGUCGAGUAUCUAGUCGAGUAAUCAAACCAAUUUUCUCCAUAGAGUCUUCAAAGUCAACCUAAAAAUGAAAUGCAGGUGGAAAUGAAAAUUCUAUAAACUAAAUAAAAUAAAAUGCAAUUCUUGAGCUUGAGCUUGCUUUUACAUCAUCAUAAUAGUGAAUUUUGAUACAUCUUUACUUUUCUGUUCUUGUUUAUUCACAACAAGAUAUCAAUAAAAGAAGAUGGAAAUGAAAUUCUAUAAAAUAAAGCAAGUGAAUUACCAGAAGAACAUUUUAGCAAUCCUUUGGCUAAAAUUUUCAUUUUCUUAGCAUACUCUCCUGCCUGUGAAUUGCUAGUGUGGUUCUAACAUUUCCUCGAAUCCCUGGUGAACAUAAUUAAACUCGUAUGAAAUAAAACAAAGUGGGCUAAUGUACUACUAAAAACAAUUACACAAUUACUUUAAAGAAUUAGUGUCUGUUUGGUAUGGCUUAUUUAAGAGGCAUAAGUGCUUAUUUAAUCGUAUAAGCACUUUUUAAAAAUUUUUAUGGUGUUUGGUUAUUUUUUUUGCUUAAAUAAGGUAAUUUACCUCUACUAGCAAAAGUCCAAAAUUUGAGCUUUUGGGAGUAGAGGUUAUAGAGCUUUUCUAAAAAUAUAUAAUAUAAAAAAUAUCACACAGUUUAAUGGUUCAAAAGUGAUUUUUUUAUUGACAACCAAACACCCAAUGACUUUUUUGACCAAAAGCUUUAUUAGUAUAAGCUCUGCUGCUAUAAGCUCUACUGUUAUAAGCUCUAUUUAAUAAGCUGUACCAAACAGAGCCUUAAUGUCACAUAAAUUAUAUAUAAAAAAAUACGAUUAUCAUUAUACAAGAUAAAAUUGAUAAUUUAGUUUUCAACAUUACUGCAAAUGUAUCACAGACAUUUUGUCUCUCAGCGAGUUACACAUAACAAAUUUUCGUACAUUAAAAAAUAAAUUGCAUUGGGAUUUUCUAUGAUAUUGUAUGAAAUUUUACAAAAGAGCACAUAUUUUUUUAAAGUAAAUAAAUAUAGAAAUUUCAGCAGACUACACUUGUAUUUUUUUAUUAUUUAAUUUUUAGAAAACAAGUUCAACAGAUUUGAUCACUAGGAAGUUUUACAUAUUUAUACCAAGAUUGAUUCUAUAUAGAAUCUUAAUUCAAAAUAUAAUUAUUUUUAUUAAUUUCAUUGCAAGCAACAAUGAAGUAAAUCAGAGGAGGAGAAAUUACCAGCGAGUGAUAUCUUACGGCGACCAAUUGAUGUGGGGAAUGUGGGAUAUCUUAUGCCAGUCUUCUCCUUUCCCCUCUCUUAACCCCAAAUUGUCAAUGUCUGCAGUGUCGUUGUUUGAAGUAACAACAAAGUAAAAUACAGAGAAAUUACCGGUAGGUGAUAGUAAUUGCAACCAUUCGAGAAUUUACCACUCGAUGUGGGGAAUGUGAGAUAUCCUAUGCCAGUCUUCUCCUUUCCCCUCUCUAUAACGGUUUUCAAGAAGAGGACAUCCCUCAAUACUCAAUUCCUGCAGCGUCGUCGUCCGAAGAAGGUAAUCCGGCAGCACCUUUAAUUUGGGGCAAUACCAAAUCGUCAAGGAAGAAAGAUGUGGUAUGUCUGUUGUCCUGCGAUCUUCUAGAAUGGGCAGUUCUUCCAAAUUUUCACAAGCAUGAAUAACCAGUACCUGCAGUUCCGUCGUUUGAAGAAGGUAAUCCGGCAGCGCCUUUAAUUUGUUGCAAAAACCAACUUUUAAGGAAGAAAGAUGGGGCAUGAUGGAGAUGUUUUCCUUCCUCGUAAUCUUGUAAUUCCACUCUUCCAAUUCUUCCAAUGCUACAAUUUCGAGUGAUUUCAAUUUGGGGAAGGCAAUAACUGAUGAUGACGAUGAAGAUGAAGAUGGGCCAUCCUCACUGCUUUCUUCUAUUCCCAAAAACUCAUUACCCACUCUUUUUACACUUUUCAAGUGGAUGAUUACGAGUUUUUCCAGAGGUAAUUUUCCCAAAGGAGGCAAAUGCUCACAGUUAAAACACGAGGAAAGAUAUAAAUUCCUUAGAUUGGUUAGUGAAGUCAACCAUUUGGGAAAAAUGUUGCCUCGGUAGGAUUCAAUCUCUAAUUUCUCUAAAUUCACAGGCGGUUGUAAGGCUUCAAGAAGUUGUUUAUCUUUCUCAUUCUUCCUCCUCCCUUCUUCGCCUUCCCCAUCUACGACUCUACCAAACUCAAGAUGCAAACGAAGGAGGUUUUUCUUAUUGUCUCAUCUACAUGCGAUACAUUACUCAGCCCUUCUACUCUACAUUCACGAAGGAGUUGAAGAUUUUUCAGAGAUUCAAGCCUACACGUGCUGCCACCAUCAACACCUCCACCCACAACAAACUUUUCUAAUGUUCGAAGGCUGGUCAAUCUGGAAAUCCCUAUUGGCAUGUACUUCAACGAAUAAGUUUCACCAUUCAGUAAACUCCUCAUGUUCUUUAACUUCCCAAUCCUCGCAGGCAAUUCUCUAAGACUUGGGCACCGCCUAAUAUCUAGCUUUUGUAAAUUAUAUAAUUCACACAAAGUCUCAGGUAGUCUCUCUAUACAUAGUCCAGACAAAUUAAGAUAUUUUAAAUGUAUCAAUUUUCCAACAUUUUCUGGAAUUUCUGUAAUCAAAUUUGGAUCUGAACGCAAACGAAUGGACAAUUGGCUUAUAACUAAUGCCCUUAAACACGCCAAUUUUCUAAAUAACUCCCGAAGGAUGCUGCGAUUAAGACUCCUAUUGGAAUAACUUCUAUCAUAAAUUAAGAGGCUACGCAAUCUAUCAAAUUCAAAAAAGGACAUAGUAAAUGAAGCGCCUCCUUCAAACUUUAACCCUAAGUGACGGACUUUCUCACCAAAAGAGUUUAUGACUGAUUCCUUGGUACCAUUAAUUUCUAGCCACAAACAUUCUUGCCUACUUACAAAUUGAGCAAAAUCAUAUACUAUGUCAUGCAUCUUGCAACUCAUAAUAUCAUCAUCGUCAUAAUAUUUUUCAAACUCUUGAAAGAAAGAGCGUGUUGCUAAGAUGUUGAAAUACUCUUCUCCAAUCAUCUCCAUUUCUUCGUCUUCAUCUGCAUUAAGGUAACUUUGAGCCAUCCAUAGAUUAAUCAAUUCCCUUUUAUUCAUAUUGUAGUCUUUUGGAAAGACAGCACAAUAUGAGAAGCACCGUUUUACCAUAGAAUUAGAGGGCAAAUCGUUAUAACUCAACAACAAAGGAGCCAAAAUACCUUGCCCAAUCUCUUCUACUUUCCACAUUUCACUAUCUAAAAUUCUUUGCCACUCUUUUACUAUACUUUUAGAGCGCAAGAGAUUCCCUAUUACCUUUGCAGCAAGAGGCAGGCCUUUGCACUUACAUGCAAUUUUUCGCCAAAUUGGUUCUAAUUUUUCACAAUCCUCAAAGGACCUACGUAGAAAUGCUAUCUACUUAAACAGUAACCAACAUUCCCCUUCACCCAACUCCUUGACAGGGAUAAUAUUUAUUGAUCCCAACUGUAGUGCAACUGACUUAUCACGUGUGGUAAUCCGAAUUUUACUUUCAUGGUGGCCAUUCUUUAGACAAGAAAAGAAUGGGUCCCAUUCUUUAUAAUCUCCAUCCCACACAUCAUCUAAAACAAGAAAAAAUUUCUUCCCCGUAAUAUAUUCCUGAAUCUGUUUCAUAAGAGAUUCGAAUUCGCUUAAACCAGAAGCUGACACGCCUAGACCUUCAAUGAUUGCUUUGGCGACCCUAAUCUCCUCAAAAGUGUCUGAUACACACACCCAUAUAACUUUUUCAAAAUUUAUUUUCACCUCAUCAUUAUUAUAGGCCAGUUGUGCAAGAGUGGUUUUACCUAUACCCCCUAACCCAACUAGAGAGAUGACAUAAAGGCCUUGUUGUUGUUCACUACUUUCACACAACAACUUGCUUAAGAGCUCAUUUUUCUCAUCAACUCUACCGCAAACCUCUCCCUCAUCAAUCAAGGAGGUGGUUCGCACUCGCUCUGGUUUCUUAACAUUGUUGCUCACAUUCUCAACAAAUUUAAACGUAUCGUUUUGGGAGGCAAUAUCAUCUAGCUUUCCAUUGAUUUCCCUAAUCUUGACGGCA